GCAACUGGCAAAGACAGAGUUAUUGUUUCUGCCGGUGCUGCUGGCCUUCUGUGGACUACUUGGAAAACAAGAAAUAAAUCUUGUUUCCAAGGUGUAUUCCAUGGAGAUCCUACUUAUGUUAUUUUUUCUUUGUGCUCUCUGCUGGAUUUGUGGCCAGUCCUGUAGAAAAGAGGGGUGCAGGUGCGAAACAUGCUGCGUCAGGUGUCUAGGAAGCUUAACCAAGUAACACGCGAAAUGUUCAGUCAUGAGUGAGAUUUCAAAAUCGUUUUGAAAGUAAUGUUUUGCAUAUAUGCAGGUCAAGUGAGAGCUGAAUAUCUCCUACAUUUGCAUAAGAUAUUACAGAGCACCACUGCACCAGAACUGAUAUUAGGUGCAACUGAAUAUACUGCUGACAUGGACUUGUUCUGUUUUUUUUACGGCAGACUGAAUAUCUGCUAUGUCACGGCAGAACUGCUUCUCGGGCAGGUUUUAUUCAUGCAUAUAGUCUUUCAUUUUGCUCUCUAGCUUGUUCUCAAAAUAUUUAUCCAUUCACGCAUCCUCUUUUUUCCUAGGGAAAGUGGAGUUGAUCAGUUGGUUGAGCUUAUCAAGUGCGUCGCAGGUCUCGGGAUACUCCAACAAGGGAAGAGAUCAAGUGCAUAAAUCCAAACUACACGAAGUUCGAGUUCUCCCGAAUUAAGACUCGUCCGUGGCACAAUCAUGAGCGCGCAUCUGGCCUGGAACUUGAACUUCGUGUAAUGCGCCUGGUAGCUGACCUCUCCCGACAGUGCCACCUCGAACAACCCCGUCGCGUUCUCCUAUCAGAAAAUGAACACGGAUGGAACUGAAGAGAUGGAACUGAAGAGUAAUCAAAGGGAACGAUAACUGAAGAUUGAGGGAUGAAAGACAAACAUAACUGGCAAGUUUUUUCCUUUUUCGGUUUGUCAUCUUCAUAAACGAUGUGUUUGAAUUGUCUGGCAAGUUCCCAUGAUAUUCCAGACUGUUUUUUGUCAUCUCUUCCCCUCCCCCGUGUUUGUGCCUCAAGUGAGAUCGGUUCUAAUGCUCCAAGUAGUUCAACUGGCAAUGCUCUAAGAAAGAAUGCUGUCAUGAUGUAAGGAGACAGAUAAUCCAACUGAGGAUCAUGGAGUUCUGAUGCUUAAACCUACUGAAGAUUACCAUAUUCUGUGCAAUUUGAUAUGCCGAGCAUUUGCCUAUAUAAUAUUUGUGUUGGCAUUUGCUUAUACGCAGCCUCCUUUUCCUGGGAAAGUGGAGUUGAUCAACCGGUUGUGAUUAUCAAGUGCCUUGCAGGUCUUGGGAUACUCCUACAAGGCAAGAGAUCAAGUGCAUGAGUCCAAACUACACAGAGUUCAAGUUCCCGUGAAUUAAGGCUCAUCCAUGGCGCAAGAUAUGCCAAGCAUUUGCUUCGAUACAUAAUUGUGCUGGCGUUUGCUUAUAUAUUUUUCCUGGGGAAAGUGGAGUUGAUCAGCCGGUUAGGAUUAUCAAGGUCUUGGGGUACUCCAACAAGGGAAAGGAUCAAGUGCAUGAAUCCAAACUACACGGAGUUCAAGUUCCCGCAAAUUAAGGCUCGUGGCACAAGGUAUAUAGCACAUAAUAUAACAGUGGCAAGAAAAUCUGAAGAACUAAUGGCUGGAUGACAAGAAUGACAAGUGAAAUGAGACACCGAUAACUACUCAAAAUAUCAGUGUCAUUCAACCUAUGGGCCACCCUGCACAGGCGUGAUCCAGGCAGUAAUUUGGGAUCAAUGAAGAGCGAGAAGGCUGAGGAAAAAAAAGACUAGAAAAUGAAGAAUAAUAAGAAUACUGAGAAGACGAAGGAAGAAAGUGAAAUCUGAACAAAAGACUGGGGACUAAACAGUUACCAACUUCAUGCACAUAUGCUAACUCCAUUUUAUCAAGAAUUCUUGUAGAGCACGGUAAGUUUUUUGAACUAAAAGGUUUAAAAACUGAUCCUAAAACUGAGAAAAAUAAAUAAAGCACGGCAAGAAUUCUUGUAGAGCACGGCAAAAAUGAAGGUCUGGAGAUUAGUAGAGAGCUAAAUCUCAUGACUGAACACUGAGAAGACU